UACGUAGGGUGCAAGCGUUGUCCGGAAUUAUUGGGCGUAAAGAGCUCGUAGGCGGUCUGUCACGUCGGCUGUGAAAGCCCGAGGCUCAACCUCGGGCCUGCAGUCGAUACGGGCAAACUAGAGUACUGCAGGGGAGACUGGAAUUCCUGGUGUAGCGGUGAAAUGCGCAGAUAUCAGGAGGAACACCGGUGGCGAAGGCGGGUCUCUGGGCAGUAACUGACGCUGAGGAGCGAAAGCGUGGGGAGCGAACAGG
rnacentral:rRNA from 1 species